rnacentral:rRNA from 1 species
UACGUAGGGGCCUAGCGUUGUCCGGAUUUAUUGGGCGUAAAGAGCGUGUAGGCGGCCUUACAGGUCAGCUGUGAAAACUCGAGGCUCAACCUCGAGACGUCGGUUGAAACCGUAAGGCUAGAGUCCGGAAGAGGAGAGUGGAAUUCCCGGUGUAGCGGUGAAAUGCGCAGAUAUCGGGAAGAACACCCGUGGCUAAGGCGGCUCUCUAGUACGGUACUGACGCUGAGACGCGAAAGCGUGGGGAGCGAACAGG